rnacentral:tRNA from 1 species
GUUUCCGUGGUGUAGUGGUUAUCACAUCCGCCUAACACGCGGAAGGUCCCUGGUUCGAUCCCGGGCGGAAACA